rnacentral:lncRNA from 1 species
ACAGCUGGGUUCUAAUAGAGCUUUAUUUAUUGACACCAAAAUUCAAAUUGAAUACAAUGUUCUUGUGUAACAGAAUAGUGUUCUUCUUUUGAUUUCCUUCUUAAUCAUUUAAAAAUGUAAAAAUUCUUAACUAUUGAGGCUGCACAGAAACAGGCAAAGGCCUGGAUCUAGCCCAUGGCCUGUGGUUUGCUGACCCCUGGGCUAGAAGAUCAAGUAAACAAAUCUUGAAAAAAUACCAAAAGAGAAAUUGUCAUAGUGCCCCAUCCAGUGCCUUGAUCACAGUAGGUACUCAAUGAAUGAAUGAACAGAUACUGAGUUCCAGGAGAGACAGAAGACACAUGCACCCCACAUAUCCUAGAGCUGAGUCUGCUGCUGUGGGUAAAAUACAAACACUCCCAUCUCUCCUUUUGAAUGUGAGACCGGGCAUAAUCACAGGACGUUCAGGUGACCCAGAGCUCAGACUCCAGCGCCUUCCACAUUUCCCUCAGGCUCCAAAGCAAAAGCACGGUAUAAUUACAAGGGCCAUGUUGCAGUUUAGGUCAAUCCAGCGCAUGUUAUCUGAUAAAUGAAUUCCAAAGCCAAGCGAAACUCUCAGCAGUCUUUCCCCAAGAUGCUGGGCUCAGCAUCAGCGUUCAGUUCUCCUUAAUUACAGGUUGGCUUGUUUUGUUGCGCAAUAGUGCCCCAGCCCGGAUGAAUGUCAUUUCCUUUCUUGGUAGGUGAAAUGGAUGAGGUGAGAAAGGCCCGGACCACACCGAGAAUCGAAUGCAUGGUAAACAUAGGGCCACGGGGAAGUCUUGACACCGCUCGGCAAGAUCUCUCACCGAUGGAUCCACCCUCUAUGUUUUCUGAUUGGACACAUUUCCUGAGAUGGGAAGGAUCAUGCUAUUGGCUGAGGCUGCAUCAGGGGAGUAAUAUUUACUCUGGAAAAUCUGGGAGAGGGUGUCCCAGUCUGUGAACUACCCAGACCCCCACGUUCACAGAAUACUAGGAUGAGGAGGAUCCCAAGGAACACCUGCAUCAACUCUCAUGUUCUACAAGGGAAGAAGCCAGGUCUCAGGGACAUUAAAUCACUUUCCCAAAUGUACCAAGCUAGUUAGAGUGAAGAAAGAUCCUAUUUAUCCCAGUUCCCAGUGAAAUGCCAUUUCUGCUCCAUACCUUCUCUUCUCCAUGUGUCCUAUGCUCUCGCACUUUUUGUGCUGCUUAGCGUUUUGCCCAGAGGUGUGCCAGAGAUUAUUGCUCAUUCUUUCUCCUUCCACGGUCACAACACCUCCCUGGGCUGGUGUCACCUCUUACUUUGCAAUUCAAAACGUUGAAGAAGGUGCGACCUGUCUAGAUUUUCGUGUAGCCUUCUCUCCUGAUUGCUGUUUCAGAUAACACAUUCAGGGUGUUGGUAAAUAGCUGUGAAUCAGAGCCUCGGGGACAGCCUGGUUUGGUGUGUGGAUAGUCUGGCUAAUGUCAUAGCAGUCCCUGCCUUAAAUAUCAAUGUCCGAGGAAGGUGGGAUGCUGUUUCCAAAAGAUUGAUUUGCACUUCUGCUAAUAUAUGGCUGAGUGUUCUUUAAAAUGGAGUAUUCUGCUUGCCCUCUGCCACCUUCACAACACCCUAAAUCUUUGGAAGAACGUGCUUCUUGUUGGACCUACAAGUGGGGAGCAUCUUGCCUUGUCCGGCCUGUCCCAGUUUCUCGGGAACCCUUGAGGUUUCUGUCCCUGUUCCACAUACUUAGCCCCAUCUCCAGGCUUCCUGUCCAUCAGCCUGAGAGACCAUACUCUAGGAGUCUUAAGUGCUGAGUUCCCUAGUGGGAACUCACUGGACUGCAACGCCCCAAGUCCCUCCUUCUCUCUCUGUGCCUUGGGAUGGGCUUUGUGCCAGCUGUGCCCAUCCUGCUGUUCUGCAGCUUGGUGCCCCUUCCUAACGUGAUGGGCCUCUGCUAAGGUCAUGUUCUUUCACCAACCCAGGGUCCUUCCAGCUCCUCCACCAAAACAGUGCCCUGGUUGUCCUCACUUGUCCCAUCUUCAGCAGGGAGGCACUUGAUUCUGUGGCAUUUGGCACUGCUCACUGGGCUUUCUUUUCUUUUCACUGUAAGACUCAUGCAUUAGAUCUGUCUUGCUAUAGUCCUAACAAUGUCUCUGUGUCCCCACUCCCAUUCAACUCUUGCCAUUCUCCAGCCAUUGCUCUUGAAGAAUGUGGGACUAAUAACCCUGGGUAGGGUCACAAGGCUCCAACCAAGAGCAGGGAAGGGCCUUGUGGGAGGUGAGUGCAUUUUGGAUAUGGGGAGCAAGGCUGGUGGGAUUCUGCUAACGAAACUGAUCACAGGUGACAGGGCUCUCCUUUGAACUUGAUUAUUUUUAAAGUUCACCUCUCCCUGAUCCAUAACGAGGUCUGGUGAGACUUGUCAUAGUCCCAGAAUUAUUUCGAUCAUUCCAGCUCAGCCGAAACAAUGAGAGAACAUCAAUAUGGCAACUCCUCAGAUGUCUGGGAAGAGGGAUCAUCACCCAGGCCUGGGAGCUCUGCGCAGUUUUGUCUGCCUUGGCUCCAAAGUGCUCUUUGCCCUUAACACUGCACCACUGUACAGAUUCACACAGCUGGCACUAGCUCCACAGUGGCUAAGGUUGUGCUGCUUAGGACUGACCUGGAGGAGAGGGGAGAAAAAGAUGGUAUUAGUGGCUCCCUUUCAUGUCAACAGGUUCACUGAAAAAGGAGCAAAGGGCUUAGUCAUGUUUUAAUGCUCUCAAAGCUUACUAUGUAUCCAGGA